AUACGGAGGGGGCUAGCGUUGUUCGGAUUUACUGGGCGUAAAGCGCACGUAGGCGGAUUGGUAAGUUGGGGGUGAAAUCCCAAGGCUCAACCUUGGAACUGCCCUCGAAACUGCCAGUCUUGAGUCCGGAAGAGGUGAGUGGAAUUCCUAGUGUAGAGGUGAAAUUCGUAGAUAUUGGGAAGAACACCAGUGGCGAAGGCGGCCACCUGGCCCGGUACUGACGCUGAGGUGCGAAAGCGUGGGGAGCAAACAGGAUUAGAUACCCCAGUAGUCC
rnacentral:rRNA from 1 species